rnacentral:rRNA from 1 species
CUGGCGGCGUGCUUAACACAUGCAAGUCGAGCGAUGAAGCUCUUCGGAAGUGGAUUAGCGGCGGACGGGUGAGUAACACGUGGGUAACCUGCCUCGUAGAGGGGAAUAGCCUUCCGAAAGGAAGAUUAAUACCGCAUAAGAUUGUAAUAUCGCAUGAUAUAGCAAUUAAAGGAGUAAUCCGCUAUGAGAUGGACCCGCGUCGCAUUAGCUAGUUGGUGAGGUAACGGCUCACCAAGGCGACGAUGCGUAGCCGACCUGAGAGGGUGAUCGGCCACAUUGGGACUGAGACACGGCCCAGACUCCUACGGGAGGCAGCAGUGGGGAAUAUUGCACAAUGGGGGAAACCCUGAUGCAGCAACGCCGCGUGAGUGAUGACGGUCUUCGGAUUGUAAAGCUCUGUCUUUAGGGACGAUAAUGACGGUACCUAAGGAGGAAGCCACGGCUAACUACGUGCCAGCCGCCGC